rnacentral:rRNA from 1 species
AUGAACGCUGGCGGCGUGCCUAAUACAUGCAAGUCGAACGCUUUGUGGUUCAACUGAUUUGAAGAGCUUGCUCAGAUAUGACGAUGGACAUUGCAAAGAGUGGCGAACGGGUGAGUAACACGUGGGAAACCUACCUCUUAGCAGGGGAUAACAUUUGGAAACAGAUGCUAAUACCGUAUAACAAUGACAACCGCAUGGUUGUUAUUUCAAAGAUGGUUCUGCUAUCACUAAGAGAUGGUCCCGCGGUGCAUUAGCUAGUUGGUAAGGUAAUGGCUUACCAAGGCGAUGAUGCAUAGCCGAGUUGAGAGACUGAUCGGCCACAAUGGGACUGAGACACGGCCCAUACUCCUACGGGAGGCAGCAGUAGGGAAUCUUCCACAAUGGGCGAAAGCCUGAUGGAGCAACGCCGCGUGUGUGAUGAAGGGUUUCGGCUCGUAAAACACUGUUGUAAGAGAAGAAUGACAUUGAGAGUAACUGUUCAAUGUGUGACGGUAUCUUACCAGAAAGGAACGGCUAAAUACGUGCCAGCAGCCGCGGUAAUACGUAUGUUCCAAGCGUUAUCCGGAUUUAUUGGGCGUAAAGCGAGCGCAGACGGUUAUUUAAGUCUGAAGUGAAAGCCCUCAGCUCAACUGAGGAAUUGCUUUGGAAACUGGAUGACUUGAGUGCAGUAGAGGAAAGUGGAACUCCCAUGUGUAGCGGUGAAAUGCGUAGAUAUAUGGAAGAACACCAGUGGCGAAGGGCGGCUUUCUGGACUGUAACUGACGUUGAGGCUCGAAAGUGUGGGUAGCAAACAGGAUUAGAUACCCUGGUAGUCCACACCGUAAACGAUGAGUGCUAGGUGUUUGAGGGUUUCCGCCCUUAAGUGCCGCAGCUAACGCAUUAAGCACUCCGCCUGGGGAGUACGACCGCAAGGUUGAAACUCAAAGGAAUUGGCGGGGACCCGCACAAGCGGUGGAGCAUGUGGUUUAAUUCGAAGCAACGCGAAGAACCUUACCAGGUCUUGACAUCCCUUGACAACUCCAGAGAUGGAGCGUUCCCUUCGGGGACAAGGUGACAGGUGGUGCAUGGUUGUCGUCAGCUCGUGUCGUGAGAUGUUGGGUUAAGUCCCGCAACGAGCGCAACCCUUAUUACUAGUUGCCAGCGUUCAGUUGGGCACUCUAGUGAGACUGCCGGUGACAAACCGGAGGAAGGUGGGGAUGACGUCAAAUCAUCAUGCCCCUUAUGACCUGGGCUACACACGUGCUACAAUGGCGUAUACAACGAGUUGCCAACCCGCGAGGGUGAGCUAAUCUCUUAAAGUACGUCUCAGUUCGGAUUGUAGGCUGCAACUCGCCUACAUGAAGUCGGAAUCGCUAGUAAUCGCGGAUCAGCACGCCGCGGUGAAUACGUUCCCGGGUCUUGUACACACC